rnacentral:tRNA from 1 species
GGGCCCGUCGUCUAGCCUGGUUAGGACGCCGCCCUGACGCGGCGGAGGUCCGGGGUUCAAGUCCCCGCGGGCCCACCA